rnacentral:rRNA from 1 species
CUACGGGUUGCAGCAGUGGGGAAUAUUGGACAAUGGGGGAAACCUGAUCCAGCAAUGCCGCGUGUGUGAAGAAGGCCUGCGGGUUGUAAAGCACUUUCGGUUGGGAGGACUGCUUCUAGCACUAAUAUUGUUGGAAGUUGACGUUACCUUCAGAAGAAGCACCGGCUAACUCCGUGCCAGCAGCCGCGGUACUACGGAGGGUGCAAGCGUUAAUCGGAAUUACUGGGCGUAACGCGCGCGUAGGCGGCUAGAUCAGUCGGGUGUGAAAGCCCCGGGCUUAACCUGGGAACUGCAUCCGAUACUGUCUAGCUUGAGUACAGGAGAGGAGAGUGGAAUUCCACAUGUAGCGGUGAAAUGCGUAGAUAUGUGGAGGAACACCGAUGGCGAAGGCAGCUCUCUGGCCUGAUACUGACGCUGAGGUGCGAAAGCGUGGGGAGCAAACAGGAUUAGAUACCCCAGUAGUC